GGCGAACGCUGGCGGCGUGCUUAACACAUGCAAGUCGAACGGAAAGGCCCUGCUUUUGUGGGGUGCUCGAGUGGCGAACGGGUGAGUAACACGUGAGUAACCUGCCCUUGACUUUGGGAUAACUUCAGGAAACUGGGGCUAAUACCGGAUAGGAGCUCCUGCUGCAUGGUGGGGGUUGGAAAGUUUCGGCGGUUGGGGAUGGACUCGCGGCUUAUCAGCUUGUUGGUGGGGUAGUGGCUUACCAAGGCUUUGACGGGUAGCCGGCCUGAGAGGGUGACCGGCCACAUUGGGACUGAGAUACGGCCCAGACUCCUACGGGAGGCAGCAGUGGGGAAUAUUGCACAAUGGGCGGAAGCCUGAUGCAGCAACGCCGCGUGCGGGAUGACGGCCUUCGGGUUGUAAACCGCAUUCGCCUGUGACGAAGCGUGAGUGACGGUAAUGGGGAAAGAAGCACCGGCGAACUACGU
rnacentral:rRNA from 1 species